UACGUAGGGACCGAGCGUUGUCCGGAUUCAUUGGGCGUAAAGAGCUCGUAGGCGGCUGUUCAAGUCGAACGUGAAAACUCGGAGCUCAACUCCGAGCCUGCGUUCGAUACUGGACGGCUAGAGUCUGGUAGGGGGAUCUGGGAAUUCCUGGUGUGAGCGGUGGAAUGCGCAGAUAUCAGGAGGAACACCGGUGGCGAAGGCGGUUCUCUGGGCAUUACCUGACGCUGAGGAGCGAAAGUGUGGGGAGCGAACAGG
rnacentral:rRNA from 1 species